GACGAACGCUGGCGGCGUGCCUAAUACAUGCAAGUAGAACGCUGAAGAGAGGAGCUUGCUCUUCUUGGAUGAGUUGCGAACGGGUGAGUAACGCGUAGGUAACCUGCCUGGUAGCGGGGGAUAACUAUUGGAAACGAUAGCUAAUACCGCAUAACAACAGUUGUUGCAUGACAGCUGUUUAAAAGAUGCAAUUGCAUCACUACCAGAUGGACCUGCGUUGUAUUAGCUAGUUGGUGAGGUAACGGCUCACCAAGGCGACGAUACAUAGCCGACCUGAGAGGGUGGUCGGCCACACUGGGACUGAGACACGGCCAAGACUCCUACGGGACGCAGCAGUAGGGAAUCUUCGGCAAUGGGGGGAACCCUGACCGAGAGACGCCGCGUGAGUGGAGAAGGUUUUCGGAUCGUAAAGCUCUGUUGUAAGAGAAGAACGGGUGUGAGAGUGGAAAGUUCACACUGUGACGGUAUCUUACCAGAAAGGGACGGCUAACUACGUG
rnacentral:rRNA from 1 species